rnacentral:tRNA from 1 species
GUCGGUGUAACCAAACGGUUAAGGUGUCUCUUUUUGCAGGAGAGGAUUAGCGGGUUCGAAUCCCGCCACCGACU